UGGGCUGCAACCCGCCCACAUGAAGUUGGAGUUGCUAGUAAUCGCGGAUCAGCAUGCCGCGGUGAAUACGUUCCCGGGCCUUGUACACACCGCCCGUCACACCAUGGGAGUUGGGAGCACCCGAAGCCGGUGAGUUGACCGCAAGGGGACAGCCGUCGAAGGUGAGACUGAUGACUGGGGUGAAGUCGUAACAAGGUAAC
rnacentral:rRNA from 1 species